rnacentral:rRNA from 1 species
GCUACGGGUGGCUGCAGUGAGGAAUAUUGGUCAAUGGGCGCGAGCCUGAACCAGCCAAGUAGCGUGAAGGAUGACUGCCCUACGGGUUGUAAACUUCUUUUAUCAAGGAAUAAAGUGAGGCACGUGUCCCUUUUUGUAUGUACUUUAUGAAUAAGGAUCGGCUAACUCCGUGCCAGCAGCCGCGGUAAUACGGAGGAUUCGAGCGUUUUCCGGAUUUAUUGGGUUUAAAGGGAGAGUAGAUGGGUUGUUAAGUCAGUUGUGAAAUUUUGCGGCUCAACCGUAAAAUUGCAAUUGAUACUGGCAGCCUUGAGUACAGUUGAGGUAGGCGGAAUUCGCGGGGUAGCGGUGAAAUGCUUAGAUAUCACGAAGAACUCAGAUUGCGAAGGCAGCUUACUAAACUGCCACUGACAUUGAUGCUCGAAAGUGUGGGUAUCAAACAGGAUUAGAUACCCGAGUAGUC